rnacentral:rRNA from 1 species
GACCGGUGCUUGCACUGGUCAAUCUAGUGGCGAACGGGUGAGUAACACGUGGGUAACCUGCCCAUCAGAGGGGGAUAACAUUCGGAAACGGAUGCUAAAACCGCAUAGGUCUUCGAACCGCAUGGUUUGAAGAGGAAAAGAGGCGCAAGCUUCUGCUGAUGGAUGGACCCGCGGUGCAUUAGCUAGUUGGUGAGGUAACGGCUCACCAAGGCCGUGAUGCAUAGCCGACCUGAGAGGGUGAUCGGCCACAUUGGGACUGAGACACGGCCCAAACUCCUACGGGAGGCAGCAGUAGGGAAUCUUCCGCAAUGGACGCAAGUCUGACGGAGCAACGCCGCGUGAGUGAAGAAGGUUUUCGGAUCGUAAAACUCUGUUGUUAGAGAAGAACAAGUGCUAGAGUAACUGUUAGCGCCUUGACGGUAUCUAACCAGAAAGCCACGGCUAACUACGUGCCAGCAGCCGCGGUAAUACGUAGGUGGCAAGCGUUGUCCGGAUUUAUUGGGCGUAAAGCGAGCGCAGGCGGUUCCUUAAGUCUGAUGUGAAAGCCCCCGGCUCAACCGGGGAGGGUCAUUGGAAACUGGGGAACUUGAGUGCAGAAGAGGAGAGUGGAAUUCCAUGUGUAGCGGUGAAAUGCGUAGAUAUAUGGAGGAACACCAGUGGCGAAGGCGACUCUCUGGUCUGUAACUGACGCUGAGGCUCGAAAGCGUGGGUAGCAAACAGGAUUAGAUACCCUGGUAGU